rfam:Daphnia pulex DAPPTscaffold_122_Cont5068, whole genome shotgun sequence.
GCAGAUAUGGCCGAGUGGUUAAGGUGACUGACUCGAAAUCAGUUACUAUCUUGGAGUAUAGGUUCGAAUCCUACUAUCUGCG